UUUAAAGAUGAGGGCCCUCAUGGGGUUUUUGAUUAUGUGAUUACUUGGCCGUUUUUUUAAUGAUUAUUUGAUUAUUAAGCCAAAUAUUUCAUGAUUAUUUGAUUACCUAGGACUGUAUUUUUAGUUUAUGAUUAUUUGAUUACUAAAGAUAAGCAACUAUUUAAUGAUUAUGUGAUUAUAUUGGCAAAAAAAUGGUGAUUAUGUGAUUACUAGGACCCCCCCCAUGAGGGGCCUCAAAG
rnacentral:lncRNA from 1 species